rnacentral:rRNA from 1 species
GGAAAAGAAACCAACAGGGAUUGCCUUAGUAACGGCGAGUGAAGCGGCAAAAGCUCAAAUUUGAAAUCGGCCCCCAGGUCGAGUUGUAAUUUGUAGAUUGUAUCUUGAGAGCGGAUUAAAGUCUGUUGGAACACAGCGCCUUAGAGGGUGACAGCCCCGUAAAAUCUAUUCUCAUUGUAAGAUACUUUCGAAGAGUCGAGUUGUUUGGGAAUGCAGCUCUAAGUGGGAGGUAAAUUCCUUCUAAAGCUAAAUAUUGACGAGAGACCGAUAGCGAACAAGUACUGUGAAGGAAAGAUGAAAAGCACUUUGAAAAGAGAGUGAAAAAGUACGUGAAAUUGUUAAAAGGGAAGGGUAUUGAAUCAGACUUGGUGCUGUUGUUCAACUGUGUUUCGGCAUAGUGUACUCAGCAGUACUAGGCCAAGGUGGGGUGUUUGGGAGUGAAAAAGAAGUUGGAAGGUAACUCUUCGGAGUGUUAUAGCCUACUUUCAUAGCUCCUCAGGCGCCUCAGGACUGCGC